AGCCCAGCAGGCCCGCACUCCAUUCCCCAUCCCCAUGGGAUGGGUUGCAUCCCAUGCACGCAACCAGGGCUCUUGCUUGGAGGCUCGCACCAACGGUGCUCUCUAUAUUCCAUAGUAUGUGGCUGUUACCUCUAUCGCAGAGUUGUUUGUUUGUUUUUUUUUUAUUUUUUAUUAAGUUUUACAUUUUAAUUCUAGCAUAGGUAGCAUACAGCGUCGUAUUAGUUUCAGGUGUGCAGUUCUAUACAUUAGUGGGUGCUCAUCAUACGUGUACUCUUUAGUCCUCGUUACCUAUUUCAUCCACUCCCCCACCCACGCCCCUCUUCUAGCCCAUAUUUUAUGUCUUUGGGUUUUGUGUUAUAGAUAUGUGUUGAUAGGCCUGCCUCUUUUUGUCAGACUGGAAGUCUCUGUAAAUUAGGACGUGUGUCUUUUUCAUCUCUGUGUCCGAGUCAGUAACGAGCACAGUGUCCUGCUUAUCAACAUUUAUAAUGUGUCUGUUAAAUGAAUGUAGGAGUGAGACGGUGACUGACUUGCAGGCAGUGCUCUGGCUUCCGAUUUGCUGGCAGACAUCCCUCUUCCUUGGUCAAUCAGUGGUGGUGAAUCCAGAAAUCCCUCCAUCCAUGCUUUUAUUUUUUCUUUCUUUUUUUUUUUUAGGUUCAUGUGUUUUUCAUGGUUCUCGUGACCUCUGCAGAAGCCCCAGCUCUGGAAAGAAAGAAGGAGCUGUUAAAUCCAGAACAUUUUCCUUAGAAUGUAUUUAUCAAAUCAGAGAUGAAAAGAAAAUGAAGGAACUGGGCCACAAGGAAGAAAAGAAGUGAAGAAUCCAAUACAAUCUGGGUCAUUUCAAACCAGCCACAGAGAACCUGCAUUUGGGGGACAUAUUUCAGGGAAGACACAGCCUACCAUUCAGAAUCCUCCCGAAUCUAUGAGACAAAGUGCUUCGGUGAAGCUCAGAGAUUCAGUUUGGAGUUGCUACCAAAGGUAAUUUAAAAAAAAAAAAUUAUUAGAGCUUUUCUUAAUUUCUGGCAAUAUCCAUAUUCAGGCAGCAGUUUACUUUUUUAGUGUUUUUGUUGUUAUUGUUUGCUUUUUGUUUUUGUUUGUUUGUUUUUGUUUUGAAACAGGUUUUACUCCUUCCUUUGAUACUGUGAUUAAAUCCAAAUAAUGUUCCGGUAGACCUUUG
rnacentral:lncRNA from 1 species